UACGGAGGGAGCUAGCGUUGUUCGGAAUUACUGGGCGUAAAGCGCGCGUAGGCGGCUUUGUAAGUUAGAGGUGAAAGCCCGGGGCUCAACCCCGGAACUGCCUUUAAGACUGCAUAGCUUGAAUCCGGGAGAGGUGAGUGGAAUUCCGAGUGUAGAGGUGAAAUUCGUAGAUAUUCGGAAGAACACCAGUGGCGAAGGCGGCUCACUGGACCGGCAUUGACGCUGAGGUGCGAAAGCGUGGGGAGCAAACAGG
rnacentral:rRNA from 1 species